rnacentral:misc_RNA from 1 species
GAUGAAGAACGCAGUGAAAUGCGAUAAGUAAUGUGAAUUGCAGAAUUCAGUGAAUCAUCGAAUCUUUGAACGCACCUUGAGCUCCUUGGCAUUCCGAGGAGCAUGCCUGUUUGAGUGUCAUUAAAUUCUCAAGACCUGUCUGCUUUUUUGAUAGGUAUUGGAUUUUGGGGGUUGCAGGCUGUUUCAAAUAAAUAGCCUUGCUCUCCUUGAAUGUAUUAGUGGAGAAAAGCCAUUGAACUCCAUUGGUGUGAUAAAACCUAUCAAUGCCAGGAGCAAUAUCACUACUUCUCUCUGCUGUCUAACUGUGACUGUCUGUAUUAAUUAGUAUGGAUGGGGACAACUUGACCAACUUGACCUCAAAUCAGGUAGGACUACCCGCUGAACUUAAGCAUAUCAAUAAGCGGAGGA